rnacentral:rRNA from 1 species
AUUGAACGCUGGCGGCAUGCCUUACACAUGCAAGUCGAACGGCAGCACGGGAGCAAUCCUGGUGGCGAGUGGCGAACGGGUGAGUAAAGUAUCGGAACGUGCCCAGUCGUGGGGGAUAACGUAGCGAAAGUUAUGCUAAUACCGCAUACGAUCUAUGGAUGAAAGCGGGGGAUCGCAAGACCUCGCGCGAUUGGAGCGGCCGAUAUCAGAUUAGGUAGUUGGUGUGGUAAAGGCUUACCAAGCCGACGAUCUGUAGCUGGUCUGAGAGGACGACCAGCCACACUGGGACUGAGACACGGCCCAGACUCCUACGGGAGGCAGCAGUGGGGAAUUUUGGACAAUGGGCGAAAGCCUGAUCCAGCCAUGCCGCGUGCAGGAUGAAGGCCUUCGGGUUGUAAACUGCUUUUGUACGGAACGAAAAGGUUUGGCCUAAUAAGCUGAGCUCAUGACGGUACCGUAAGAAUAAGCACCGGCUAACUACGUGCCAGCAGCCGCGGUAA